UCUGUUAAUUCAAUAUGAAAGCCUUGUGUUUGCCAUGAUGUAUUUUGAUUUAAGCUUGCGAGAAGAUGGCCAUCCAAGACCAUUCGCAACCCAAUUAUCUCGGGUGGGCAAGUCUUGUCACUAUAACCGCACCAAGCUGCCAGAGCUCCGGUCGCGGACAAGGCAUGAUGCAGGCACUGUCAUCGUUAGUGGGUUAUCCUCACGACCUCGUGUAGAGUAUCAGCUUGUACCAUUAGGCCACAAUCACUGGUGAUUAGCUGUCCCCCAUAGUUCUGUAUUAGCGGAAUCACAAGGGCCAUUCGGAAAAUACAAACUAACCAUAACAAUCAAUCACAUUUUUUAGACUUGGUUUGGGAAGUACCAUGUUAUGUCUUGUUGAUUUUUGGUUGCAGUCGGUUGACUAUGUGGUUGACUAUGUGUAUAAUUUGUUUGUC
rnacentral:lncRNA from 1 species